GAUGAACGCUGGCGGCGUGCCUAAUACAUGCAAGUCGAGCGAACGGACGAGAAGCUUGCUUCUCUGAUGUUAGCGGCGGACGGGUGAGUAACACGUGGAUAACCUACCUAUAAGACUGGGAUAACUUCGGGAAACCGGAUCUAAUACCGGAUAAUAUUUUGAACCGCAUGGUUCAAAAGUGAAAGACGGUCUUGCUGUCACUUAUAGAUGGAUCCGCGCUGCAUUAGCUAGUUGGUAAGGUAACGGCUUACCAAGGCAACGAUGCAUAGCCGACCUGAGAGGGUGAUCGGCCACACUGGAACUGAGACACGGUCCAGACUCCUACGGGAGGCAGCAGUAGGGAAUCUUCGGCAAUGGGCGAAAGCCUGACGGAGCAAUGCCGCGUGAGUGAUGAAGGUCUUCGGAUCGUAAAACUCUGUUAUUAGGGAAGAACAUAUGUGUAAGUAAAUGUGCACAUCUUGACGGUACCUAAUCAGAAAGCCACGGCUAACUACGUG
rnacentral:rRNA from 1 species